CGGUCAGAUCAGAGUAUCCAUUAUUAUCCUCUUCGUCGGUUACGAAAUCAUUAUUAUCCUCUCAGAGCUCUUCCAUUAUUAUCCUCUUCGUCGGUUACGAAAUCAUUAUUAUCCUCUCAGAGCUCUUCCGUUCAAAACCUUCCCCUAAUAUUCUUCUAACCGAUUUUCAUUAAAGACCCGCUAAUAAUAUCUUCAUACGUUACAUGCAGCAGCAUCCCUACAUAAAUCCUAGACGAGAUCAUCAUCUCACCAUGUUUCAGUCGCAUCGAUUUGCCGUAGGAACCUGCUUUAGCAGUAUUGACAACGAGGAGCAAUGCACCAUGGAUAAAACUGGUGAACCAAUUCUCUGGAUAGUGUGCUUCACCAUAAACGACAAUUAUUUGUUGAAGUUUAAACACGGAUGAAGUAUCAAUUCGUGAUAAAUUGCAGAUUUCAGCAGCACUUUUGUGCAUCAUUGGCUUACUGAUUGACCACGAUACUGUAUAUUUAAAGGGUGUAUGGGCGGUUUGUGCUGACCAACAUUCCUAAUUUAUUGCCUUUGAUGUUCUCCUCUUUUGAAGAACCACUUUAUCGAAUUAAAGGAUGAACGUGUUAAGUGCUCGAUAAAGGAAAUGAAGGCAAUGAGACGGAUUUAGCUGAUUCAGAUGCCAUGGCCGUGUUAAAGAGGGUUGAAUCCUAGCUUGCAUAUUCAUUUGCGGAAGUCGACACGGAAGCAGUAAACUAUAUGGAGGAAAGGUUUUUACAUGAGAAUGAGAACGAAAAGGUAUUUUUUUCAACUGAUAUUUUCCAUUUUUACUUGAUUUUAUCUUUUUCAGUUUGGCAGGAAAUGAAGAGCCCCUCAGACAUGAGUCACCACAGUGUGACUUAAGUCGAUGUUGCAGGAAAAAUGAAGAUGCCUCCUUAACUUACAUGAGUCACCACUGAAGUUACCAGCCUAGACGUGGGCAUGCUCCAUGGAAAAUGUUGAAUGAGACAAAGUUGGUCUUCCAGUUUACGUGGAGUCCCCAUGGGGUCUUUCACGAGAAUUGUCAUCUAGACUCUCAACUAGUUGUUCGAUAGAGAUGAAUGGAAACCAUGACCAAUUUGAAUGGGUUAUAAAUUUGUCCAAGAAUAUCACGAGAGUUUAAAACACAGAUGUGUGGGAAGAACCAAUUUCUUGAACUUGGUAUACUUUGGUGGAGCCUUUUGUGGCUGAAAACAUUCCAAAUUAGUACUUAAAAGUAUAGAGUUCAAAGAUUGUACUCAAUAUGUACUGAUAUUAACAGUUAUUAGCUUCAUAUAGUUCAUUCAUUCUGGUGUCUAAAUGGUCUAACACAGUCAAAAUCCAUCUGCUUGGUUACCAUGUGAAGUUCAGAUUCAGCUUGGAAUAGCUACUUAAUGUUAGAUUGUAGUCGUGGUCAAAUAGCCAAAGCAACCAACAAAAUUAGUGGUUCCAAAACGUUCAAUUGUGAGUUUACUUCUCAGUUCUCACAUUAAUGGUCAAUAGGAUUAGGAUCAUAGAACCAGUGAUUAAUUUUUUUAUUUUUUCCAAUCAAAAAGAACAAGAUUUCUUUGAUUGUUCUUCAUAGAAAAUUGUCAUGCUGGAUUUUCCUGACAAAUACUCGGGCCGAUGGAACCCAACGGGCCGAUAAUGUGAAUGCCAAAGAAACGAAACCCAUUCGUUUGUCCGUAUUAAGACCUAAGGUAAGGAUUUGAGAACCCCACCAAAAUAACACAAAUCGUCGUCUGGGCCGUUACGGUACGGGUCAUAUUUAGUGGGUUUAUAGAUGGAGAGGGAUAUCGUUACGGUACGGGUCAUAUUUAGUGGGUUUAUAGAUGGAGAGGAGUAUUUUUAUUGCAUGAUAAAGAUAUUUGUGUAGCCCAUCAAAACAAGGAUUAAUUAUAUAAUCAAUGCUCAUAAAACAGGAGUGUUUGGUGUGUCAGGCAACAGUUGGGAUAUAUUCAGUUUUCUAACCGGCAGUUGGGAUCUUCUCCCCCUUCCAGGAUUUCAUCUCAUAUUUAAAUCCAACGGUGGUCAACAGUAUAAGCCCAAGUCUUUGAACAUGCCAUACCUCUCUUAAAUUGUAUCGUGAUACUUUCCCAUUUGUUUAAUUAGCUUAAAUGUUUUUGCUUCAUGCGUUUCAUUUUUAUUUCCUUAGCAGCCUACUUCUUUGAAUUCCAUCGGCUAAAAAAAAAAACUCUGAAACCUCUUUAACAGGGAAGAUGAUCCGAAUGGUUUUUUAAUGAAUUUAAUCUUCACCAAUUAACGUCACAGUUUCACAUUACUCUCUUUGCUAUCGGGGACUAUGAUUCUGAAACCCAAGAAAAUCUCUAAACAGAAAUAUCUCCCAAUUGUGAAUGAUCAAAUCGUUUCUUCUACAGCCAAUUAUCAUCAUGGGAAAAAAUGGUGAUCAAUUUGUCUGAAGAGUUUUCCCUUUCUGAAGUAAUUUAUCGAUUAAGCUUUCUGGGAAGGAAACCAUGGAGGAAAACGAUUAAGACUCCAGUAAUAAGCGUUUACUUCGAUCAUUUUGCUGUUAAGUUUUUCUUUGUCCUGCCCAUGCGGAUCAUACAGCUGAUUAGUUGUGAACGACAAUGACCUAUUGGGUCCAGUUGCUGCUUAACAUGGUGAAAGCUGCAUCUGCAUCUGCUUAACAUGGUGAAAUCUUUUUUUUUUUUUCGUUUUUUUUUAUUUAUUUAUGAUGUUAUCUCUUUUAAAAGGAAAAUCUGCAAGGGGAGAUCGAACUACAAAUGGUAACACAAUUAUGAAAUAUAUUCAGGUUUGGAUCAGUCGGUGUUGCUAACUUUAAUCCAUAUCCAUUCAGGUUUCCAGGAGGUCUACAUGCAGUCAAAGUGCUUGAUUCAUCACCUAUAUAAUUAAGCUCUCCGAUAUAAGGUGUGGGUCUGUGACAAAGGUAUCUUUAGUAAUUAACUUUAUUUUCUUAGACGAGAUACCAUAAAGAUAUUUCUAUCCUGCAGAUAGAAAGAAAAUUAUAGGGAAAAAAAGGUAAUUCCUUAGUUGAUUGAUUAAGAUAUAAUGCACUAACCAGCUACUGCAUGAGGAAUUGUCAUUCAACUAUGGUAAGCUCACUCCGUGGAAUUGUCUGGAGGUGUUGAAAUUUGGACCGGAGAAGGUCUAUAUACUGUACUGAGUGCAUUUGCUACAAUCAAAAUACUAUGAUGUUCUCCAUCCACAGAGUGUAUUUGUUCAGUGUUUAAUAAUAGUCAACCAACCUCAACCAUAAUAGAUUACAAGGUUUCAUCUAACAGAACAUACUAAUGAGUAGGACUGCCUAAACAUCUAAUUGAACUAACAUGCCCACCCAUUACUAUUUUUGCUAGGUGAAGCUUAAUUAAAAGUAAUUAUCUCUUACAUAAGCAAUUCCGCGUACCAUCCAUCUCUGUUCAGUGCAUGAUGCAAGGUUCGGUGUGAAUGGGAUAAACAAUUGUGCAUUGAAAUUCACAAAAAUCCAGCAAUGACACCAAUUAGGCACCAUAAUGAGCAUGAGCUCUGCCACUAAGUUCACAAGAGUGAUUUCUCUUCUUAGCAUGUUAAUGGUGUAUAACUGAAACCAUUACAAAAAUAAUUAAAUGGAUCUGACAUAUUCACUACAACACGUGGACCACAGGUCUGGGGAGAUUCCGAAUGCUAAAUUGAUGUGUCUAGAGACAUUUCCAGCCUUAUUAUAUACUCUGUAUAAAAUGGAUUUUGUGUCAUUAAUUGUCUUUUGUAAUUCUUUUAGAGAGACAUCGUUCCUAAUUUUAUUUUUUUUAUCAUUAUACCUUUAUGUAUGAUCUUUAAGAUUCAAAAGUGAAAACCAUGUUCCAAAAUAUAAAAUAAAUUAAGAAUGGUCAAGCUGUAAACUUCUUUCUUCAUCGCUAUUUAUGGAAGUAGAAUUGGGUUGUUGACUGGACUACCUUACAUAUUUCAUGCCGUUACGACUAGAAAAUAUACACCGCCAUUUAAACAUAAAUGCAUUAGGUUAUUGGCAGCACUAUGAAGGUAAACCUUAUAUGGGUUGAACUCACAACGAUUGCAUAGGUUCAACGAUGUCAUCUCUUUAAGUAUUCGAACCGGUACAAAAAUCCAGAUUGAACAACAUAAUUAUGCAUCAGUGGUGGGUUGAUUUAGUUCUUUAAGCUUUGGUUAUAAAUCGCAGAUUCUGAAUAGAGGUUUUGCACAUAUUCGAAUUCUGAAUAGAUGUUAUGUAGUUUCUGGAGCGAAAAGAGAAAAGGUUGUUAAUCUACUAUAACAUUAUCUCAUCUGUAGAGUAAGGCUUUACACCCCUGUGUUAUUCUUAUAUAUGUUACCUUACUAAACUUUGGUCUGCGUGUUUCAGUUACAUUCUGGCUUGUUUCACAAGGUUCCAUGAUCCGUUUUUAGGUAUAGGCCAAGAAACAAUCUUCUAGUAAUUCUAGAAAGUAGUUCUUAAUCCUAGAAAGAAAUCUUAAGAGUCCUAUUUUUAGAAGAUUACAAACAUAGGGGAGUUUCCAAACCUAGAAUAACUAGACUAUAGAAGUGGUGCUACCCUAUAAAUAGGGUGCAAGAGAG